AAAAUGAAAUAAAAAGAGGUGGUGAGAAAGAAGAAAUCAAAGAAGAAGAAGCAAAAGCUUCAAGAGUGGCUCUGCAUUCGAGGCAACAAAAAGGGACAAAAGAGCCCCUGCAAUCAAAAUGAUGCUCCCAAACAAACCUCCGACAAUCAUACAUACCAACGAAACUGUGGAAAAAGAUCCAGAGAUGAAACAAACAACCUCAAGGAGUUCAGAGUUGUUCAUCACAGCCUUUAACGAGAAACUGAUUAUUGUCAGAAGAAAUAUGUAAAAAUUCACUGGAUUUGUUUCCAAUGGAGAUGUAGUUUUUCCUUGGAAACACACUUGCACAGCAGAAAGAAGCGUCGGAAUUAGAAAUGUGAAGGCACCAUUGUAUUGCGUUAA